ACAGGAGCAGGGGAGGUGGAUCUGCAGGGUUUGAGCUUGUUCUACAGUCACUGUUCACGGGGCUGACGACGAAGUGUGGGUAGAACCAGGGAAGCUGAAGGAACUAUAAUAGAGAAGAAAACAAUGUUGUUAGAGGUAAAGCAUGGCAGAAUUUAACCCAGAAGAACCACAGACAAUGCGGUAUGUUAAUUCACCGUUAUGUGCUGCUCUAAACUGCUUUCCAGGAACUUCUCCACACACCUUUAUGGUACAGGUGAGCCAAUGUAAAGAGUGAAUAAAAUCUGGAGGGCCGGCACUGUGGCGCAGCGGGUUAACACCCUGGCCUGAAGCACCAGCAUCCCACAUGGGCACCGGUUUGAGACCCAGUUGCUCCACUUCCGAUCCAGCUCUCUGCUAUGGCCUGGGAAAGCAGUAGAAGAUGGCUCAAGUCCUUGGGUCCCUGCACCAGUGUGGGAGAUCCAGAAGAAGCUUCUGCUCCUGGCUUCAGAUCAGCACAACUCCAGCCAUUGCGGUCAUUUGGGGAGUGAACCAUCGGAUGGAAUACCUCUCUCUCUGCCUCUCCUCUCUUUGUGUAACUCUUUCAAAUAAAUAAAUAAAUCUUAAAAAGGGGGGGGGGGGUUGACUAUCUCUCAGGUAACAGAAGUAUUCAAAGUAGAUCUGCUUCCAAUUCACCUGCUCUUGUUCACCAUUUCAAUUCUAUCUUCAGUGCUGCUAAUUUGACACUUUUUAGUGUUGGUUUACCUAAGUUAGUGAUU